AUUAAAAUAACUAGAUAUAUUAAAAUCUUAAUUUUAUAAUUAAAACAUUAUUAAAUUUAGUAAAGGGGAUUAAAAAUUAUUUUAUAUCUUUAAAUUAAAGUACUGUGAAGGAAUAAUUUUAAUUACAUAAAAGAAAAAAUUAAGUUUU
rnacentral:rRNA from 1 species